UCCAGGCCCCCAGCCUUCCCUUAUUUAGAGAGCUCGAGGUCUGGACCCCCAGCUCGCGUCCCGGGAGAACCUCCAGGCAUGGGCGCCCCAGGCUCCUCCUCCUUCCGAAACCCCAAAGUCCGGGCCGGCCCCCACCCUCCGGGGGAGCUCAGGAAAUCUGUGACCCAGCCCCCUCCUCCCUCGGGACCCAGGAGCUCCGGCCCCCAGCCCUGGCCCCCAGGCCCUGGCGCCCGGUCCCACCUGCUGGACAUCAAACUUCCUGGUCCUCAUGCCUUUAGCCUCAGACCGAAUGACACCACCAGCUUUCCUGGUUCUUCGGCGUAUAGACAGCAUGUCGUGGGAAUUCUCAGCCUCCAGAACUGUUUUGCAUACUUUGAUGAAACAAAGCUAUCCUGUUGCAGAAAGCCUGCGUGUCAAGGAACUGAGGGGUGGCCUCUAGCCAAGUCAGCAAGGAACUGAACUGCCAACAAGGCCAUGAAGUCAACAGAACCUUGAGAUGGCCAGAAAGCUGCUGGCCCCUUGAUUGCAGCCCUGAGAGAGACCCUGAGGCUGAAGACCCGGCCGGGCUGUGCUCAGAUCCCUGAUUCAUGGAAAUCGCAAGAUAAUAAACGUGUGUUGUUUGAAA